AGCUCGGGACGGCGAGGAGAGAACGAGAGGAGCCGGCUGGGCUCGAGCCCACCUCUCCCUGCCUGACAGGGCAGCCCAGCUUCGACUUUCGACGCUCCGGCAGGAUAAUUUAAAAGAAGCUCCUCCGGCCUCGCACCCGGCAUUCUCCCACCUCCCGCCGCCGCCACUGACUUGGCCGGUCCUUGGCGCGGGUAUGGGGCGGAGGGGCAGAGCGCGCGCGCUUCUCGCCUGGAUCUUCUUGGCACUUUAACAUUGCCACUGCAGAAUAAAUUAUUUGGAAUCCAAGUGUUUUCUGAGAACUCAACUCAAAAUUUGUUUCCUUGGAUUUUGAUCAGAUAUACUCCCAGGUAAGAGAAUUCUUUAGAUUACAACUUUACGUGAAUGGGCCUAUUCUCCCACUCCCUUCCACAAAAGAGAAGAAAAAAGUAUACAAUGUAAUAAAUAUAGAGAAAGUUAUCUUCCCUUUGUUCUGGGAGUAUGGGGAAAGAAAUGUGUAGAAGGUUGCUGAAC